UACGUAGGGCGCAAGCGUUAUCCGGAAUUAUUGGGCGUAAAGAGCUCGUAGGCGGUUUGUCGCGUCUGCCGUGAAAGUCCGGGGCUCAACUCCGGAUCUGCGGUGGGUACGGGCAGACUAGAGUGAUGUAGGGGAGACUGGAAUUCCUGGUGUAGCGGUGAAAUGCGCAGAUAUCAGGAGGAACACCGGUGGCGAAGGCGGGUCUCGUGGGCCGAUACUGACGCUGAGGCGCGAAAGCGUGGGGAUCAAACAGG
rnacentral:rRNA from 1 species